UGUUGAGGAAGAUAAUGACGGUACUCAACAAGGAAGUGACGGCUAACUACGUGCCAGCAGCCGCGGUAAAACGUAGGUCACAAGCGUUGUCCGGAAUUACUGGGUGUAAAGGGAGCGCAGGCGGGAAGACAAGUUGGAAGUGAAAUCCAUGGGCUCAACCCAUGAACUGCUUUCAAAACUGUUUUUCUUGAGUAGUGCAGAGGUAGGCGGAAUUCCCGGUGUAGCGGUGGAAUGCGUAGAUAUCGGGAGGAACACCAGUGGCGAAGGCGGCCUACUGGGCACCAACUGACGCUGAGGCUCGAAAGUGUGGGUAGCAAACAGGAUUAGAUACCCUGGUAGUCCACACUGUAAACGAUGAUUACUAGGUGUUGGAGGAUUGACCCCUUCAGUGCCGCAGUUAACACAAUAAGUAAUCCACCUGGGGAGUACGACCGCAAGGUUGAAACUCAAAGGAAUUGACGGGGGCCCGCACAAGCAGUGGAGUAUGUGGUUUAAUUCGACGCAACGCGAAGAACCUUACCAAGUCUUGACAUCCUGCGACGAUGCUGGAAACAGUAYUUUCCUUCGGGACGCAGAGACAGGUGGUGCAUGGUUGUCGUCAGCUCGUGUCGUGAGAUGUUGGGUUAAGUCCCGCAACGAGCGCAACCCUUAUGGUCAGUUACUACGCAWGAGGACUCUGGCCAGACUGCG
rnacentral:rRNA from 1 species